rnacentral:lncRNA from 1 species
CGCGGUCGCCCCAGCCGCCCGGCAGCCGCCGACCCCCGGCCGGGCCCUGGACUCGCCGCGGUAGUGCCUUCCCAAACAGAGCUGCUGGAAUUACAAUCUUUUGUUGAGCCUCAUGUAACGGAAAAGUCUCCGAUUACUAUCACUUGAAAAGGCUAGCGCGCCCACGGGACGGCCUGGAGAGUGAAGAGCCCCAAGGGUCCCGGGCCCGCGCGGCUCAUUCACUCUCUAGCGUCUGCUGAGGUAACGCGGCCCGCACCUGGGCGCGCGCGACUGCCCCAGUGCGCUGGCGCCAACCACGCGGCGGCGGCCCGGCGAGCCACCGGGAAGAAGUCAGACAAAGUCACUCUCAGGGCGCUGUGCAGCGCCACAGCCAGGGGAGGUGUAAGUUCGGGCUCAGUGAAGAAUCUCGGCUGACUUACGCUGCCAUCAGGGGAUAUGAAGGCGGUGGUUUCCUGGAAUAACACGGGCCUAUGAUAGGAAUUCGACGCAAGGAAGAUUUAUGGGAGCACCGAUUUGCAAGGCAUUGUGGGAAAAAGGUACACAGGUUGCACAUAAUAUGAUGGCAGUAGAGCUGGGACGAACGUAGCCACACUCAAUCCUGUGAAGCCAACACUGAAUGAACCAGGCAGAGUGAACACAUGCAAGUAUUAGAAAGGUUUGGACACUGGGGAAGGGUUUAAUAACCCCACGGGGAUAAGAAGUAAGAAAUGGGAAUCCAUUUGGUGUGAUGGGACCAGGGAAGAAUAAGACAGAUCCCUGAUGGCCCAUCUGACCACCUCCAGUUCAGAAGUGGGGAGGAGGUAAAGGAAGGCCAGAGGUAUUCAUUCUUUAUUUCUUCAGUGUUUACUGUUCUGUAUUUACAGUAUUUAAUGUGUGCAAGGCACACUGCCAGGUGUUUUAGAAGAUUCAGAAGUGACCAGGAGUGUUGCUAGCCAAAGGAAAUGGGACAAAUGUGCAAACAGUAAAGUACCAAAAGAAUAUAGUAAGGGCCAGGGGAGGACAGCUCUAAGAAUUCAGAGGACAAGGAGGACACAUCUGCCUUUUGGAGAAAGCUGUCUCAACAAAGAGGAACAGAGCACUAAAGCUAAAUAACCCCCAUGAAGGACCAACCCUCUUCCGGAAAAAAGGCUUAAAUUACACAUCAGUUAAAACGACGACAACAUUCUCCUCCACUUGUGCUCUACAGUGAGGGGCAGAUGAAUGGCCUUUGGCUGUUGCAGCAAAAUAGAGGUAAUCUACGUAUAAACUACUACAAUUUUAACAUUCCAUUCCCUAUCUUGCUUGGUCACUAUAGUCACCUAAUACUCUGUAUGUCCUUGUCACAAUACAGUUCUCCAGGAAAACUGUGGCCAACGUUUGGAAAAAUUAACCAUGAAAUUCUCAAACUUCAACUGCUAACAUGUACUCCAGGCUAAUGAUGACAGAGAAUAACACAGGCAAACUGCAGGCCAACCUUGGGGAGAUAGUUUCUUUAGAGAUGCCCUCUACUGAGUGCCCCUGAUAUCCAAGGAACAUGGAAGGCAGUCCCCAAAUGAAGAGCAAUUGUAUUCCUUUAAUUCAGUCAUAAAUCAACUCUCAAUUCUAUGAGAUUUUUCACAGAAGAACGGAGCGCCUCAAAAGUGGAUCAAGGCAGAAAUGGAUGUGGAAAUUAUCAUCCUGUACCUUUGAGGUAAAGAGGCUUCUACAGCUCUGGCAUGAGCUACCACAGGUCAUAACCAUUAGGAAAGAAACUGGAAUGUUACCAUGCCAGGCUUUGUGAAUAAACUAAAGUUUUGCUGGUGGUGGCACAGGAAAAAAAUGAAGAAACCAAGAGGACUUGAACCAAGUGGGUAUGACUCCAAAGCCCAUGCUUUAAAUGAACAAAUUGGCCUACCCUCUAAGGCAAGAACCCUUUAAUAGUGGUCUAUGUCAGAAAAAUAUCAAAAAGACUCAAGGCUCUUAAAUAAAUAAGGAAAUGAAUGACCUGCAUCAAAGUCUAAUUACGCCUAGGCCAGUUACCCACCCAGCCAGGUCUCCUUGUACAUACACAAUGGGGGUGAUAUUGCCCCCACAAGGAAUGAAAAUUCAUUUUGGGGAUGAGGCAAAAAAUUGUAUUCUUUUUCAUAUUAGCAUAGAUAUAUAAUGUAUCUAUGGCAUGAAAAUUUCAUGGGUGGGCAAUUAGGAGGAAAAAAAGGGUCAC